GACGAACGCUGGCGGCGUGCUUAACACAUGCAAGUCGAACGGAAAGGCCCUGCUUGCAGGGUACUCGAGUGGCGAACGGGUGAGUAACACGUGGGUGAUCUGCCCUGCACUUCGGGAUAAGCCUGGGAAACUGGGUCUAAUACCGGAUAGGAGCCAUUUUUAGUGUGAUGGAUGGAAAGAUUUUUCGGUGUAGGAUGAGCUCGCGGGCUAUCAGCUUGUUGGUGGGGUAAUGGCCUACCAAGGCGGCGACGGGUAGCCGGCCUGAGAGGGUGGACGGCCACCUUGGGACUUAGAUACGGCCCCGACGCCUACUGGUGGCAGCAGUGGGGAAUAUUGCACCAUCGGCGCAAGCCUGAUGCAGCGACGCCUCGUGGUGGAUGACGGCCUUCGGGUUGUAAACUCCUUUCGCUAUGGACGAAGCUUUUUGUGACGGUACCUAGAUAAGAAGCACCGGCUAACUACGUG
rnacentral:rRNA from 1 species